rnacentral:rRNA from 1 species
UAAUACGUAGGGUGCAAGCGUUGUCCGGAAUUACUGGGCGUAAAGAGCUCGUAGGCGGUUUGUCGCGUCGUCUGUGAAAACUCGAGGCUCAACCUCGAGCUUGCAGGCGAUACGGGCAGACUUGAGUACUGCAGGGGAGACUGGAAUUCCUGGUGUAGCGGUGAAAUGCGCAGAUAUCAGGAGGAACACCGGUGGCGAAGGCGGGUCUCUGGGCAGUAACUGACGCUGAGGAGCGAAAGCGUGGGUAGCGAACAGGAUUAGAUACCCUGGUAGUCCACGCCGUAAACGGUGGGCGCUAGGUGUGGGUUUCCUUCCACGGGAUCCGUGCCGUAGCUAACGCAUUAAGCGCCCCGCCUGGGGAGUACGGCCGCAAGGCU